UACGGGGGGGGGCAAGCGUUGUUCGGAAUUACUGGGCGUAAAGGGCUCGUAGGCGGCCAACUAAGUCAGACGUGAAAUCCCCUCGGCUUAACCGGGGAACUGCGUCUGAUACUGGAUGGCUUGAGUUUGGGAGAGGGAUGCGGAAUUCCAGGUGUAGCGGUGAAAUUCGUAGAUAUCGGGAGGAACACCAGUGGCGAAGGCGGCUUUCUGGACAUUUACUGACGCUGAGACGCGAAAGCGUGGGGAGCAAACAGG
rnacentral:rRNA from 1 species